rnacentral:misc_RNA from 1 species
GACCAUCUUUGGGAGCAAAAGACAGUGUUUCUAUGUUAAGUGGAAGAAGAUAAGCAGAGAAACUGGCAACCCCACAACCAACAUCAAGCACUUGAUAUAUCCCUGCCGCACGCAAGUCACCUGUCUCAUCAGUUGUCAUAUUUCCUAAUCUCUCAAUAUAUUCUGUAGCUCCAUGCUUAAAAUGAGUUCCACCGCCUGGAAACCACCAAAGCUGAUCCUUCUCAUGUACCCAAUUUUGUCCUCCUUUUACCUCCGCAAGACGUGUAUGGUUUAUAUUACUCCGCCAUACAUAGUCCCUGCUAGUUGGCCACCUUAUUGGU